GCCCCACAUCUCCAUGGAAAACAAAGCCAAGUAC
rnacentral:SRP_RNA from 1 species